rnacentral:lncRNA from 1 species
AGAGGUGUUGUGAAGAUUACAGAUUAUAAGGGCAAAAUGGUGGCUGUAUCAGUGAACAGUAGUCAGGAUUAUUUUUUACUUUCCAGUGACUCAAACCUCUCCUAAACUGCUCUCUCAGUUUUGGCUCCGUCUUCCCAUGAUAAUAAUAGGUGGCGUAGAGAGGUGACAGAGUCAAGGAACAUGGUUCUUGUUUUCUGAAGAUGGUUCUUUCCUCAAGCCCUUUGAGUCUUCUUUGGUCUUAUAUUCUCAUCACAGAAGGAGAGGUGAUUGUCUUUCCCCAGUUUUGUCUACCAUUCCGGUUCCAUCUGCAUUCCCGGAGGAGUCCUGUUGAGGGCAGAGUGACUGUGAGCGAAACAUGAAGAGCUGUGUCACCAAGUUCCAUAAAAUCUGGGAGCCCAAGCAGCAUAUUUGUGGGAUUUGUCUGACAGAACGCAAUGGAAACAGAGCGUGGCAUUCGCUCCAUCUCCCCCAGGUCACCUGUGGAGAAAGAAACAUCAUCUCUCAACAGAGGAUUGUUCCUCCGUUUGAUGAUACGUGCAUCCUGGCAUCUGGAAUUCAAUUGACUGUUCUGUCUUGGAGCCAAGAAUCUAGAAACUCUCCAAUCCUGAAGUCAAAAUGGAAUGCAUCUCUGCUCUUCCUCUGGGCAUCAUCUAAUUUUUUUGUUCUUGUUUUCCUUGUGCUGGAAUCUACAACACCCUCUCCUAGCCCCUCAACCAGCCUUUCUUCUGCAGAGCAACUUAGUUCUAAUUAGCAACUACAAACCUAUUCACCUACAUCCAAGAGUUCAGUAGUGUCUUUUAAGUAUGUAACAGGCAAUUCUUUUACAUUUUAUUGAGAUGACUACUUUAAAAAAAUUGGUUGCUACCCAGAACUGUUUAGAACAUUGCUUGCUUUAGGUAAGUGAGUGAAGCAAGAUGUGAUAACAUAGGGCUGGGGGACUAGAGUUGGGUAAUACGGUAGCACAUGAUUUUGUUACUUGAGAUUGCCUGUAAUUGUAGACAUCAGUGAGCAGGGUGAUAUGAACCUCACAGGGGCUCUUGAAGUUCUGCUUCUUCCCUAUUCCUUAAUGCAAUACAAUAUUUAGGUUCAUCUUUUCAAUUUUCCUGGAGAAAUUAAAUACUGUGCCAUAAUAAAAAAAUAAGUAAUUUGAAAGUAAAGGAAGGGCAUGAAUGGAGAGGAGGCAGGAAAACAUUCUAGGUUGGAAAAAAUGGCAGAAGUAAUGUUGUGACAUUGGAGUGAUGGUGGAGGUGGGAAUAGAGUCUAGGAUCUCUUCAUCCCAUACUAUGCAUCUAUCUUCACAAAAUUAGUAUGGCCAAAUAUUAAAUCAGCUCAUUUCUGGUUGGGAAAAGUAGGGUGAAUGUGCCUUUCUAGCUGUCCUUGAGAUGUAAAUCUCCUGUAACAUAGCUUCCCUAGUGGUCACCUCAAAGGCUUUGUUCUCUCCAGGAUAGAUGCUACAGAGUGGGACAGUACUUGGUGUGUGUGUAUCUCAAUUUUUUUUUAACAUGACAAAUUGAACUAGGGGCAAGAGAAGGAUAGACAGAGGAGCCUAUGAUGGGGUGGUGGAUACUAAAUAUUUUCCAGGUGUAAGGAGCAGAGGAGGAAAAGGGAGACUGGGUAACCCUUUUUCAGACCAUCAUUUAGUCCAUUUUAUGUUGCAAAUAUUAGCAAACCUACUCCAGCUUUCUUAAACAGUGGGGUUUUCAUUACAACAUAGUUAAGAGAGUAGGCUUAGGAGUAAGAUUGCUUGAUCCUGAGUAAGUUACUUAAUCUUGGUGUCUCAGUUUCUUCAUUCCAGUUAAGUAAAUAUAUUUAAAUUAAAUUAUAUUAGUUAGUAAAUGUAAAGCACACAGAAAAGUGUUUGGCUUCUGGUGAGCUUUCAAUAAGUGUUAACUAUUAUUUGUUAUUAUUAUUUUAGCAAAACCAACCUCCAAAACCUAUGAAGUCAGUUUACAGAAAGCCACCAGGAAAAGGGAAAUAAGAAGAUUCUUUACUUUGCUGUCAUUUGAUACACUUAGCAUUUUAAAUGACUAUAUGUACAAUAUUAACCAUGCCUUUCCACAAAACUAUGUGUGUGCAUAUGAAUUACAGGGCUUUCAUUUGAAACUGAACUAUCUGUGUUUGUAGUCACUUUAAUCAUACAACAAACCUACAAAAUAUUUAAGCAUAAAUUAUCAUGAUGACUAAAUAUGGAAAAGCUUCUGUUACCAAAACCUGCACCCAAAAUGACUGCACAGGAUGGGUAAUUGGAUGGUGGUGUAAAGAAUGCUCAUGAGGACUAGGCUGCUGCUAAUUAGAUCUUCUAUGCUAUUUAAAUGUUCUCCAAGCUUCAGGGAGUGCCCUGAAGGCAGUUGGACAUUAGCCUUGUGGUUUUUGAGGGUAACCCACAGUUUGUCAGCACAGGGGUGGAGGUGAGCACCAUGGGACUUUUCCCAGGCUGCUGGUUAACAUACUGUGGUUUCAAUCCUUUAAGCCAAUAAAUGGAGGAGAGAGAAAGAAGGCAGACUGAAAUUAGAGGAAAAGAGACAAAGAAAGGAAAAGUGGAAGUAAGAAUAAUAUUCAUGAAGUGUCUUCUUUGGGCCAGAUUUUUUUUAGGAACUUUCACAUAUUGUGCUUACAUCAACUCUGUGGGAAAUGUAUGAUUAUACUAUCCUCAUUUGUAACAGACAUUGUUGGGUGCCUAUAUAACAUAUAACAGCUAUUUUUCUUCAUUUUUUUCUUGCUGAUAGCGCUUUUUUUUUUUUUUUAGUGUUUACUUCCCAAACAAAACUUAUGUCUCCAUGUCUCCAUCCUUCAGCAAUAGGGGUAAUUCUGAAAGGUCAUUGUUUUGCAAUUGCCCUUGAAAGGAAAUUCUUGGACAUAACAACAGAUAAGAUUCUAGCCAAUGAAAGGUGAUGAGAAGGUUGCUGAGAAGUUUCUGAGAAAGGUUUCUUUAUUCUUUAACAAAUACCCUGGAAAGAGACAGGCCUUCUGCUGCUGUUCAUGGUUGUACCUGCACAGGAUGCCUGAAAAGGAGUAACUGUGGGGUCAGAAGAGGAGCCAGCAUGAGGACAAAGCAGAUACACUGAAGUACCACCUAUCACUGAAUUUUUGUGCAAGAGUAUAAACAUUCUCAUUGUUUAAUCUUUCUGUGGGAGACGCUUUACUAUGUGUAGCAAAGUCAUUCUAACUGACAUACCAUUUUCCAUUGUAUGAGAAAACUGAUGUACAGAAAGGUUAAGAAACUUGCCUGCAUUUGCAUGCAUAAUGAGGAGUGGAGAGAACAGGUUGUGCCUUCUAAUACACAGGCAAGAUAUGUCUCUUUUAAACAGCACAUACAGACACACUCCAAAAUGACAAUUUCCAUCAUUUUUUAAAAAUUAAAUGAGACAAAGACUCUAAAACUAUUUAAAUAACAUGUACAUUACUGUCUUGGGAUUUAUUUUUAUUUGUUUCAGCUCUAUUGAGAUAUAGUUGACAAAUAAAAUGGUAUGAAUUUAAGGUGUACAAUGUGAUGAUUUGAUGUAUGUAUAUAUUGUGAAAAGACCAAAAUAAAGUCAGUUAACAUAUCUAUUA